rnacentral:rRNA from 1 species
ACUAGCUAGCGUAUCCAUCACUAGCUAGUCAUGAGUCGACCUAACAUGUAGAGCAAGACGCCCUGCCCGCAGAAUCCGGAGGUGGAUCCCUCGGAUCCACACAAGCCCCGGGGAGAGCGAGGAUAUAUAAAGUGCGGCCCCCCAGUGUGAUUUGUUUAUUCACCACGGAAACCUACCGGGCUGCAUGAUGAAGCAUGAACAGUCCCUUGAGCAGAAACAGUGUGCAUGCGUCGUCAGCUCGUGCUGAGUGUGGUAAGUCCGCAACGAGCACAACCCUGUCUUAGUAGCAGCACGUAGAGGUGGCACUCUAGGGAGACUGCCGGAGACAAUCCGGAGGAAGGUGGGGAUGACGUCAAAUCAUCAUGCCCCUUAUGAUUUGGGCUACACACGUGCUACAAUGGCGUAAACAGAGGGAGGCAGAGCCGCGAGGGGCGAGCAAAUCCCAAAAAUAACGUAUCAGUUCGGAUUGUAGUCUGCAACUCGACUACAUGAAGCUGGAAUCGCUAGUAAUCGCGAAUCAGAAUGACGCGGUGAAUACGUUCCCGGGUCUUGUACACACCGCCCGUCACACCAUGGGAGUCGGUAACGCCCGAAGUGCGUGACUCAACCGCAAGGAGAGAGCGCCCGAAGGCGGGACUGAUAACUGGGGUGAAGUCGUAACAAGGUAGCCGUAUCGGAAGGUGC